AGCACCACAACGGGUGGAGCUUGCGGUUUAAUUGGAUUCAACGCCGGAAAUCUUACCGGGACCGACAGCGAUAUGAAGGCCAGGCUGAAGACUUUGCCGGAUUAGCUGAGAGGUGGUGCAUGGCCGUCGUCAGUUCGUACUGUGAAGCAUCCUGUUAAGUCAGGCAACGAGCGAGACCCACGCCCACAGUUGCCAGCGUACUCUCUGGAGUGACGGGUACACUGUGGGGACCGCCGCUGCUAAAGCGGAGGAAGGAAUGGGCAACGGUAGGUCAGUAUGCCCCGAAUAUCCCGGGCUACACGCGAGCUACAAUGGUUGGUACAAUGGGUAUCUACCCCGAAAGGGGACGGGAAUCUCCUAAAACCAAUCUUAGUUCGGAUUGAGGGCCGCAACUCGCCCUCAUGAAGCUGGAAUCCGUAGUAAUCGCGUUUCAACAGAACGCGGUGAAUACGUCCCUGCUCCUU
rnacentral:rRNA from 1 species